rnacentral:pre_miRNA from 1 species
GGGAGAGCGCAGGAUCCUGGCUGUGUCCCCGGCACCCUGAGCUCCGGAGUCUGCGCUGCUGGAAUCGCGCUCCUGGGCCGCGCAGGCCCCU